CCUGUGUUCGAACUGCGGUGGCUCAGGGUGGCUGGCGCUCACUGUGGCUGGGCUGGGGCCCCACUGCCCUUCGAGAUGUGCCCUUCUCAGCCCUGUACUGGUUCAACUAUGAGCUGGUGAAGAGCUGGCUCAGUGGGCUCAGGCCGAAGGACCAGACUUCUGUGGGCAUGAGCUUUGUGGCUGGUGGCAUCUCAGGGACGGUGGCUGCAGUGCUGACUCUACCCUUUGACGUGGUAAAGACCCAACGCCAGAUCGCUCUGGGAGCGAUGGAGGCUGUGAGAGGUAAGGGCCCAGACUGCCGUGGCAGGGGACAGGUGGGGUCCUGAAUGGGGUCUCUGAGCCGGCCUCACGUUUGCAGUGAACCCCCUGCAUGUGGACUCCACCUGGCUGCUGCUGCGGAGGAUCCAGGCCGAGUCAGGCACUAAGGGACUCUUUGCAGGUCAGUGUGUGGGUGUUGGGGUGGGGGCGGGGCUGACCUGCGACCUGACCUCUGACCCGGGCCUCCUUUCCACUGCAGGCUUCCUUCCUCGGAUCAUCAAGGCUGCCCCCUCCUGUGCCAUCAUGAUCAGCACCUAUGAGUUCGGCAAAAGCUUCUUCCAGAGGCUGAACCAGGACCGGCUUCUGGGCGGCUGAAAGGGGCGAGGAGGCAAGGACCCCGUCUCUCCCACGGAUGGGGAGAGGGCAGGAGGAGACCCAGCCAAGUGCCUUUUCCUCAGCACUGAGGGAGGGGCUUGUUUCCCUUCCCUCCCGUUGACAAGCUCCAGGGCAGGGCUGUCCCUCUGGGCGGCCCAGCCGUUCCUCAGACACAACUUCUUCAUGCUGCUCCAGUCGUGGGGAUCAUCACUUACCCACCCCCCAAGUUCAAGACCAAAUCUUCCAGCUGCCCCCUUUGUGUUUCCCUGUGUUUGCUGUAGCUGGGCCUGUCUCCAGGAACCCAGAGGC
rnacentral:sRNA from 1 species